rnacentral:rRNA from 1 species
AGUGAACGCUGGCGGUAGGCCUAACACAUGCAAGUCGAACGGCAGCACAGUAAGAGCUUGCUCGUACGGGUGGCGAGUGGCGGACGGGUGAGGAAUACAUCGGAAUCUACUUUUUCGUGGGGGAUAACGUAGGGAAACUUACGCUAAUACCGCAUACGACCUACGGGUGAAAGCAGGGGAUCUUCGGACCUUGCGCGAUUGAAUGAGCCGAUGUCGGAUUAGCUAGUUGGCGGGGUAAAGGCCCACCAAGGCGACGAUCCGUAGCCGGUCUGAGAGGAUGAUCAGCCACACUGGAACUGAGACACGGUCCAGACUCCUACGGGAGGCAGCAGUGGGGAAUAUUGGACAAUGGGCGCAAGCCUGAUCCAGCCAUACCGCGUGGGUGAAGAAGGCCUUCGGGUUGUAAAGCCCUUUUGUUGGGAAAGAAAAGCAGCAGGUUAAUACCCCGCUGUUCUGACGGUACCCAAAUAAUAAGCACCGGCUAACUUCGUG